rnacentral:lncRNA from 1 species
CAGAUGCAAACAGAUCUGUUUUCCUGCACUAAUAACACAUCCUGACAUUGCAUUUUACAUGGACUCUGCCAUUUGUAAUGGCCAGUCUUAAAUUGCUGUGUCGUUGGUAGCUUAAUAUGUCUUAAAUGAAUGAACAAGCAUUUUUCCAUUAAAAUACAGAACAAGUGGAGAUGAAAAAACUCAAGGAAAAACACCAAGAGAAGAUGGCUAAGAAAAAUGCCAUAAUAAGAGAGCUGGAAGAGGAAAACAAAUUCUUAGCCAGCGAAGUUGCAAAUCUUGCAAAGGAAAACAAAUCCUUGAAGAAGAAACUUAGAGAAAGUCAAGGCACAAUGAAAGAAGAUGAGGAAUGUAAAAAACUAACAGAGGAAAUCCAGAGGUUCCACAAAGAAAUAGAUUUUGCUGGAACCUCUGAUAAACAAUAUGACUGUGUUGACUGUGUUACACAUUUUUAAAGACAUAGCCUUAUUGGACAGAAAAAAGGUUGCCUUUAUGUGUUAUAUUAUUGAUCGUCUUAGAUCAAGCCAAGUCCAAAAACAUCAGAAGCCGGCUGCACCCUGCACUCUUGACAAAUUGCCAUCAAAAUAAACAUGAACAAGCUCUACGUACUGUGUAAAAG